rnacentral:rRNA from 1 species
AUGUUGAUUGACUCUAGUACUUGUAUGUGUAUUUGCAAGCUUGGUGGAGAUAUUGCUUGUUAUUGCCAUGUUUGCUAUGUGCACCAUUCCUGUGAUGAUACUUUCAUCUUGCUUUGUGUUCGUGCUUGCGAUAUGUCAUGUGCAUUGUCUAUGCCUAGUAUUUGCUCACAUGACAUUAUUGCCAUGAUUUACUCUAGUGUGUUGCAUCUUCGCUCCACUAGUUUGCACGACUUGAUCUCUAUGCUUGCUCAUGUUGCAUCACCCAUGAUUCAUACUUGCCCAUUUCAUGCGGUUGAUGACAACCAUCUAUAUGCUUUGCACAUGAUUCAUAUUGCUUCUUGUCAUAUAUCUCCAUGUGUUGCCUCUCUCAUGCUAGAUGAUUUUCCAUGUAUUGAGUGCAACAAUGAUUCUCGUCUUGCUCAUAAAAUUGCCCCCAUAGCAGUCUCAUUUGGAGAUUUUGACAUAAUUCUUGUGAAGCAUGCUUGUCUUACCUCUUUUCACCAUAUACCUAGUGUCAUGAAUAUAGACAUUGUUGCACCUUAUUAUUCAUGCACUUGUACUUCUAACGGUUAUGUGCAAGAGAAGAGAACCAUCAUGAUGGAUGAUGUGUUUAUCUACCAUGCGCAUACUUUCUUUGUUUUGUUUUGUGCAUGUGUAGGAUACUUGGACUUUGUGUCGACUCCCACUUCACAUGAGUUAAGCAUUCGAGCUCUUGAGAGCGAGCCUCAUAUAUUCUACCACGACUCGCUUCUACACCACAUUUCCUACAACUUCGGCAUUGUAAAGAAUGCACAAGGACACGCUUUCAAGGUGACAUCCUUCUUGAGCUUGUAUACUGGGGAUCAUACUUCAUGUGUUGCUUGCACCAUUUGCAUGUAUGUUCGAGAUAUUGCUUUCAUCCAUGAUUGCCACAUUUCCAUGCUUCAUGACAUAUGUACCUUGUGUGUUGCAUCCAAUUCUUGGAAUACUUGCUACUAUCAUAUGGUUGGUUGCACCAAUAUCAUUUCUUCACAUAUGCCAUGUCCCUUUACUUGUCACAUGAUUCACUUGAUUGCCUCACACAUGAUGAAUAAUUGCUCUUUCUAUUGUGUGGUGUGCCACACUAUAUUCACUACACCCUAUGCACAUUAUGCUUGGAUUGUCUUGCACUUGACCCAUGUGUUUAGACACUUCAUUUUAUUUGGUGUUGUUAAUGAUUCUUAUGCCUACCAUAGAACUUUCAUUGAGCAAUUUGUGAAUGCUUGCUAUGACCUCGAGGUAGAUGCUUAUUCUCUUGUCACACAUAUUGGCAUCUCUACCUCACAUUUGCAUACUUGUCCCCAUAAUAUCUUUGUUUGUGCUUGA